CUACGGGUCGCUCCAGUGGGGAAUAUUGCACAAUGGAGGAAACUCUGAUGCGGCAACGCCGCGUGGAGGAUGACACUUUUCGGAGCGUAAACUCCUUUUAUAUAGGAAGAAGAUGACGGUACUAUAUGAAUAAGCGCCGGCUAACUCCGUGCCAGCAGCCGCGGUAAUACGGAGGGCGCAAGCGUUACUCGGAAUCACUGGGCGUAAAGAGCGUGUAGGCGGAUUAAAAAGUCAGAAGUGAAAUCCUAUAGCUUAACUAUAGAACUGCUUCUGAAAUUCUUAAUCUAGAAUAUGGGAGAGGUAGAUGGAAUUUCUGGUGUAGGGGUAAAAUCCGUAGAGAUCAGAAGGAAUACCGAUUGCGAAGGCGAUCUACUAGAACAUUACUGACGCUAAGGCGUGAAAGCGUGGGGAGCAAACAGGAUUAGAUACCCCUGUAGUC
rnacentral:rRNA from 1 species